CACAUUCAGGUCUCUUACUGAGAUUUUAGCCCAAUUUACAUAGAUAAGAUUUGGCGUGCUAUCCUAUCCCGAGUGUCUGUUCAGCGAAAAACAUGCAGUUAUCUGUGCCUCUAUCAUUUUGUUUGCCAGCAACCUGGCAAGAAAAACUCUUUUCAAGUUCUGACCUGGCUGAUGGCUAUUUGAUGGCAUAGAAAAAGAGUAAAUAAAUAGCAGUUUAAAUAGUCCAAAACACAUUAAUUAGGUAAGGAUUUAGACUAACAUCCUGCAUUUCCCUAUCACCUUCAAGAAUGCCAUUAAAUUAUACUUUUAACCACCACACCUCUUCUGUACCUGUUAGCUAAAUGCUUUGCCCUUGAGAAAAAAGACUUCCCCAACAUCGGCAAUAACACUGUUAAAGGUCUGGGAAUGGCUCAGCCAGUGCCUGUUAUGGUCUUGUAGCCACAAGACAAUCCAUCUUCCCCUUUAUAAAAAUCUGACUGUGGUAUUACUGUGUGUAACCCAUGCUGAUUCUAAAAGCAGUAUGAAUUGUAUACAUCUUGCACAUCAGUUUCAGUGUCUUAAAAAAUGAAGAGGUUUUUUUUUUUUUUUUCCCUUUUCCCCCUUCCUUUGAAGUUUUAAAGCAGAACUUGCUGGUGACCCACUUUUGCUAACAGUUCUCUUAACUAACCCCUGUACUCACUUAUACAUUUUUUUUCUCUUCCACCCACUGUCUGUCUAGCCUGGUUUAAAAUUUUUAUAUAUGUACUUUUAAAAAAUUGAUUAGUUGGAGAGCUGCCCGUUCUUCUGCGCUGUAUAAUAAGGAUUUAAAAACUGCACACUGAAUUCUGUAUAGUGUAAUUAAAACUGACCCAGAUUUGGACAUGAGAACACCAGGACUUAGCCAAACUUGCCAUGAGCUGAGUUCUGAUGGCAGAUGGAAGCUAAUGAGGACACACUACACUCCAGAAUUUCCCAGCUGCUUGGCCCCUUUUUGUACAAACAAGGUUUGGAGUGAAGUCCCAAUCCCAAGAGUAUGUUCAAGCAAAUGUACUGCACCCAGUUUUGGGAAACAAGGCAGUAGUGUCAGACUGCUUUGGGAAAUUUUUGAGGCAUUAUUUCUAAUGGGCUUUUACUGUGUCAUGAAUAUGCUGUCUUCCAUCUUGUCCUAGUCUGAGUGUGAUCAUAUGGUUUAGACUCUAUAUGAAUACCCUCCUCCCAUUUCAGCUGGGAGGGCUUCUACUUUAAAUUAAUGGAGUGUUUAGAUCCCAAAAUACUGGGUCUCCCUUCGACCUGUAGUUCUCUCCAGUGGAUUCAAUGUCCUGGGACUAUUCAGGCAGAUGUAAUUGAAUCAGUUUGCAGCAGCUGUAGCUGGCAUGUGGUCUCUCAGAUUGCUAGCACCUGCUUGGUUGGGUUUUUUUGUUGUUUGUAACUCACUAGAGUGAAAAUAGUGCCAAAACCAGCAUUGGUCUUGGAGCUGAUAAAGCACUCCCGCUCCUAUAUUCCUUUCCCCUUCUAGCCCAGCCACCUCAUUACU